GAUGAACGCUGGCGGCGUGCCUAAUACAUGCAAGUCGAGCGAACAGACGAGGAGCUUGCUCCUCUGACGUUAGCGGCGGACGGGUGAGUAACACGUGGAUAACCUACCUAUAAGACUGGGAUAACUUCGGGAAACCGGAGCUAAUACCGGAUAAUAUAUUGAGCCGCAUGGUUCAAUAGUGAAAGACGGUUUUGCUGUCACUUAUAGAUGGAUCCGCGCCGCAUUAGCUAGUUGGUAAGGUAACGGCUUACCAAGGCAACGAUGCGUAGCCGACCUGAGAGGGUGAUCGGCCACACUGGAACUGAGACACGGUCCAGACUCCUACGGGAGGCAGCAGUAGGGAAUCUUCCGCAAUGGGCGAAAGCCUGACGGAGCAACGCCGCGUGAGUGAUGAAGGUCUUCGGAUCGUAAAACUCUGUUAUUAGGGAAGAACAAAUGUGUAAGUAUCUAUGCACGUCUUGACGGUACCUAAUCAGAAAGCCACGGCUAACUACGUG
rnacentral:rRNA from 1 species